UACGUAGGGCGCAAGCGUUGUCCGGAAUUAUUGGGCGUAAAGAGCUCGUAGGCGGUCUGUUACGUCCGCUGUGAAAACCCAGGGCUUAACCCUGGGCUUGCAGUGGAUACGGGUAGACUAGAGGCAGGUAGGGGAGAAUGGAAUUCCCGGUGUAGCGGUGAAAUGCGCAGAUAUCGGGAGGAACACCGGUGGCGAAGGCGGGUCUCUGGGCCGAAACUGACGCUGAGGAGCGAAAGCGUGGGGAGCAAACAGG
rnacentral:rRNA from 1 species